rnacentral:rRNA from 1 species
UCGGAUUGUAGGCUGCAACUCGCCUACAUGAAGUCGGAGUUGCUAGUAAUCGCGGAUCAGAAUGCCGCGGUGAAUGCGUUCCCGGGUCUUGUACACACCGCCCGUCACACCAUGGAAGUUGGGGCGCCCGAAGUUGGUCGGGAAAUAGAUUACCUAAGGCGAAACCAAUGACUGGGGUGAAGUCGUAACAAGGUAGC